UGAACAGUUCAUCUUUGUCGGUCAGUAC
rnacentral:sRNA from 1 species